rnacentral:rRNA from 1 species
AUUGAACGCUGGCGGCAGGCUUAACACAUGCAAGUCGAGCGAGCGGCGGACGGGUGAGUAAUGUCUGGGAAACUGCCUGAUGGAGGGGGAUAACUACUCGAAACGGUAGCUAAUACCGCAUACCAUCAGAUGUGCCCAGAUGGGAUUAGCUAGUAGGUGGGGUAAUGGCUCACCAGGGCGACGAUCCCUAGCUGGUCUGAGAGGAUGACCAGCCACAUGGGAACUGAGACACGGUCCAGACUCCUACGGGAGGCAGCAGUGGGGAAUUUUGCACAAUGGGCGCAAGCCUGAUCCAGCCAUGCCGCGUGUUGGAAGAAGGCCUUCGGGUUGUAAAGGACUUUCAGCAGGGAGGCGUUACUCGCAGAAGAAGCACCGGCUAACUCCGUGCCAGCAGCCGCGGUAAUAC